GACGAACGCUGGCGGCGUGCUUAACACAUGCAAGUCGAACGGAAAGGCCCCUUCGGGGGUACUCGAGUGGCGAACGGGUGAGUAACACGUGGGCAACCUGCCCUCAGCUUCGGGAUAACACUUGGAAACAGGUGCUAAUACCGGAUAAUAACUUGUCAUCGCAUGGUGGUGGGUUCAAAGUUUUUCGGCUGAGGAUGGGCCCGCGGCCUAUCAGCUUGUUGGUGGGGUAAUGGCCUACCAAGGCGACGACGGGUAGCCGGCCUGAGAGGGCGACCGGCCACACUGGGACUGAGACACGGCCCAGACUCCUACGGGAGGCAGCAGUGGGGAAUAUUGUGCAAUGGGCGGAAGCCUGACGCAGCGACGCCGCGUGAGGGAUGACGGCCU
rnacentral:rRNA from 1 species